rnacentral:rRNA from 1 species
GAUGAACGCUGGCGGCGUGCCUAAUACAUGCAAGUCGAACGCAUUGUGGUUGAAAUGAUAUGAAGAACUUGUUCAGAUUUGAUUUUCAACAUUGCAAUGAGUGGCGAACGGGUGAGUAACACGUGGGAAACCUACCUCUUAGCAGGGGAUAACAUUUGGAAACAAAUGCUAAUACCGUAUAAUAAUUAAAACCGCAUGGUUUUAGUUUAAAAGAUGGUCUUGCUAUCACUAAGAGAUGGUCCCGCGGUGUAUUAGUUAGUUGGUGAGGUAAUGGCUCACCAAGACAAUGAUACAUAGCCGAGUUGAGAGACUGACCGGCCACAAUGGGACUGAGACACGGCCCAUACUCCUACGGGAGGCAGCAGUAGGGAAUCUUCCACCAAUGGACGAAAGUCUGAUGGAGCAACGACCGCGUGUGUGAUGAAGGGUUUCGGCUCGU